rnacentral:rRNA from 1 species
AUUGAACGCUGGCGGCAUGCUUUACACAUGCAAGUCGAACGGUAACAGGGUGCUUGCACCGCUGACGAGUGGCGAACGGGUGAGUAAUACAUCGGAAUGUACCCAGUAAUGGGGGAUAACGCUUCGAAAGGAGUGCUAAUACCGCAUACGCCCUGAGGGGGAAAGUGGGGGACCGCAAGGCCUCACGUUAUUGGAGCAGCCGAUGGCUGAUUAGCUAGUUGGUGAGGUAAAGGCUCACCAAGGCGACGAUCAGUAGCGGGUCUUAGAGGACGAUCCGCCACACUGGAACUGAGACACGGUCCAGACUCCUACGGGGGGCAGCAGUGGGGAAUCUUGGACAAUGGGCGAAAGCCUGAUCCAGCAAUGCCGCGUGCGUGAAGAAGGCCUUCGGGCUGUAAAGCGCUUUUGUCUGGGAGCAAAUCCUGGCCUCUAAUACAGGUCGGGGAUGAGAGUACCAGAAGAAUAAGGACCGGCUAACUACGUGCCAGCAGCCGCGGUAA